CUAUUCUCUCUGCCUGAAGCGCUUAGAAGCCGAGAGAUGCUGAAUGUGUGCGGUCAAUAGGCAGAGCAGCUCAGCUGGAGACAGGGGCUCUGAUCUAGGGACACGCCGGAGCCCAAUCAUGGAUACGGAUUCAGGGGACCUCAGUGAAGGGGAGAUCUCACCAGGCCCUGAGCCAUUUAGCUCAAAGAGCUUUGCUGUUCAAGCCCAGAAGAAGAUCCUGAGUAAGAUGGCAACAAAGACCAUGGCCAACAUGCUUAUUGAUGACACAAGCAGUGAAAUAUUUGAUGAGCUUUUUAAAGUAACCAAGGAAUAUGUAAGAAACAAGAAAGAAGCCCAUAAGGUUCUGAAGGACCUUGUAAAAGUUGCAGUAAAAGUCGCAAUUCUGUACAGAAAUAACCAGUUCAGUCCGGAAGAACAUGAAAUUGUUGAAAAAUUCAGGAAAAAACUGAAUCAUACCUGCAUGACUGCCGUCAGUUUCUUUGAGGUUGAGUACACGUUUGAUAAAAAUGUGCUUUCUGGACUCUUGCAUGAAUGUAAAACUCUUCUUCAUGAAUUGGUGCAACGCCACCUGACACCAAAAUCACACAGUCGCAUCGACAGGGUUUUUAAUCAUUUUGCUGAUGUGGAAUUCCUUGCUGCCCUCUAUAGCCUUGAAGGAAAUUACAGGCCGUACCUCAAAAGGAUUUGUGAAGGGAUCAAUAAAUUACUUGAUGAAAGGGUUCUUUAAAUUGUUGCCUUCAGGAACGUCGUGUUUAUAAUACCGCUAAGAGAAAACUGUGUUUUAAUGGCCUUCUCAUUCCAGAUAACCGUACAGCACACGUCUGUAUAGGGUGCAGUGUUUGCUUUUUGUCAGAGGAUUGGAAUCUAAUGUUACAUGUACACUGAAUGAGGCCUUUAUUGAUAUUAUGAAUACAACAAAACUAUAACUAAAGCAAAGAGCAGAUCAACAAAUAUCUGUAAACAACUUAAAGGAACUGGUGGCUCCAGCAGAAAUGAACUUGUUCUAACCGUAAGCAUAAGGAGAAAUGGUUUCACAAGGAGAGUUUUGUCCUUCAAAAGCUUGAACGUUGUCCUCUUCUGGCCCUGGUACUGUUUUUGUUGUCUGGCAUUAGAGUGCGGUUUCUUAUGAGGUACUUUGUAUUUCCAUUUAGUACUGAUAUACCAUGUUCAGGAUUUACAGUAACAGCAAAGAACUGAAUGGCAGUGGUGAUUGCAUUGUCACAGGGGAGCAACCAGACAUACAGAAUGUUCCAUUGUGCCAUCACCUUCUUUCUUCUACGUUAACUUACCGUACGAAGCAUCAAAAAACUCCUACUGUACACAGUUGUGGAAUCAUCUUAAUUGCUUUUUAGUUGUAUCUGUAUAUUUAUCUGGGGGACUACAUUUUAACAAUGAAAUUUUAGUUCAGUUUACAUGUAAAAUGAGCAGAAAUAUUGAGGCUAAAGGGUGAAUGGGGGUUCACAAUUAAACAUUGAUAGGUGCAAAGGAAAGGGUAACCAUGAUAAUUUGUUAAUGAAUGGAACAAGAGCUAUACAAAAUAUUUUUUUUGACGGCACUAGGCAUGAAGCUGUUCCACAAUAUUAAUAGUAAAUUAAUCAGCCAACUAGGAAAAUGGGUAUUAAACUAUGAGGUAAUAAGUGGUUGCAAUGUAGUAUAUAUACUUUUCCUAGACUUGCAGAGUUUUGUUAUCCUUUCUCAAAUUGGCAAUUUUAAUGAGGAUUGUUUUUUUUUCUUAUUUGCAUUAAAAGUAAAUUUAUAGCCAUGUAAUGGGAUCCCAUACCCACAGUCAUGUACAAACCCUAUCAGUGUUAGUCACUGAGCUCCAGUGAAGUCAUAACCCUUCCUAAAUAUGAACCGCACCAUAUAAAUAUAUACUAUUUGCUUAUAUAUAAAAACUGAUUUUAGUCAGUUUCUGGAAGAUAAAUUUUAAAUUUAAAAUUAGGAUAUUUGUCAAAGGCAAAGAAAGUUAAAAUUACUAGGUGGUGCAAUUUGAUUGGCAACUCCCACUGAUGUUAAUUGCUUACCCCAUACUUGGCCAGGAACAGAGCCAAACUCUUUGGAAAAGUUCAGGCUUGUACAAGCGGACCUGCUUUUGGGAACAAGAAGGAAAAUGGGAUCCGAACACCCUGCCAUAAAGUAACCUGGGCCAGAGUAAUUUUAAAAGAAGUGGAGCAGCAGUUUGGGAAAUCUGCAUAACCAACAAGACGCUCUCGCUUCCAACUUCUUUGCCUGAUGAUUGCUGUAUAGUCCUGUAAUAAACCGAUUCUAAUUGAGUGAACAGGAAACAGCUUUAA